UUUCCGGUGCGGUACAAAGUCUUCAAAUCCAUUGUCGACUACUCGGC
rnacentral:tRNA from 9 species